GUAGAGGGUGUGAGAGCACGGUCAGCCACUCAGGAACUGAGACACGAUCCGCACUCGUACCGGAGGCAGCAAUUAGGAAUCCUGCGCAAUGGGGGCAACCGCAAUGCAGAGACACAGCGUGGAGGAGGAAGGUCUUCGGAUUGUAAACUCCUUUUAUAUGGGAAGAAUAGAUGACGGUACCAUAUCAUAAGGACAGAUAAACUACGUGCCAGAAGCAUCGGUAAUGCGUAGGGUCCAAACGUUAUCCGGAUUUACUGGGCGUAAAGAGAUGCGUAGGCGGUUUGAUAAGUCUUGAGUUAAAUACUUCGGCUCAACCGAAGAGAAGCUUUCGAAACUAUCAGACUUGAGACAUAGAGGGGUGAACGGAAUUCCGAGUGGAGUGGUGAAAUACGUUGAUAUUCGGAGGAACAUCAGUGGCGAAGGCGGUUCACGGAACACCGUCUGACGAUAAGGCUCGAAAGCGUGGGUAGCAAAACGGAUCAGAUAACCGUGUAGUCCACGCAGUAAAUGAUGGAUGGUAGGUGCUUGGUAGGACUACUUUCUUUCUUCGGAUUUAAGGUGGAACC
rnacentral:rRNA from 1 species